rnacentral:rRNA from 1 species
UACGUAGGGUGCGAGCGUUGUCCGGGAUUAUUGGGCGUAAAGAGCUCGUAGGCGGUCUGUCGCGUCGGUCGUGAAAACCUGCAGCUUAACUGUGGGCGUGCGGUCGAUACGGGCAUGACUGGAGUUCGGCAGGGGAGACUGGAAUUCCUGGUGUAGCGGUGAAAUGCGCAGAUAUCAGGAGGAACACCGGUGGCGAAGGCGGGUCUCUGGGCCGAUACUGACGCUGAGGAGCGAAAGCGUGGGGAGCGAACAGG